GAUCCUGGCUCAGGAUGAACGCUAGCUACAGGCUUAACACAUGCAAGUCGAGGGGCAUCAGGGUGUAGCAAUACACCGCUGGCGACCGGCGCACGGGUGAGUAACACGUAUCCAACCUGCCCUUUACUCGGGGAUAGCCUUUCGAAAGAAAGAUUAAUACCCGAUGGUAUAACAUGACCUCCUGGUUUUGUUAUUAAAGAAUUUCGGUAGAGGAUGGGGAUGCGUUCCAUUAGGCAGUUGGCGGGGUAACGGCCCACCAAA
rnacentral:rRNA from 1 species